rnacentral:rRNA from 1 species
UACGGGGGGGGCAAGCGUUGUUCGGAUUUACUGGGCGUAAAGGGCGCGUAGGCGGUCAGCACAAGUCAGUUGUGAAAUCUCCGGGCUUAACUCGGAAAGGUCAACUGAUACUGUGCGACUAGAGUGCAGAAGGGGCAACUGGAAUUCUCGGUGUAGCGGUGAAAUGCGUAGAUAUCGAGAGGAACACCUGCGGCGAAGGCGGGUUGCUGGGCUGACACUGACGCUGAUGCGCGAAAGCCAGGGGAGCAAACGGG